rnacentral:rRNA from 1 species
AACGAACGCUGGCGGCAGGCCUAACACAUGCAAGUCGAGCGAAGCCUUCGGGCUUAGCGGCGGACGGGUGAGUAACGCGUGGGAACGUGCCCUUUGGUACGGAAUAGCCCCGGGAAACUGGGAGUAAUACCGUAUGUGGUCGAGAGACGAAAGAUUUGACGCCAAAGGAUCGGCCCGCGUUGGAUUAGGUAGUUGGUGGGGCAAUGGCCUACCAAGCCGACGAUCCAUAGCUGGUUUGAGAGGAUGAUCAGCCACACUGGGACUGAGACACGGCCCAGACUCCUACGGGAGGCAGCAGUGGGGAAUCUUAGACAAUGGGGGAAACCCUGAUCUAGCCAUGCCGCGUGAUCGAUGAAGGCCUUAGGGUUGUAAGGAUCUUUCAGUGGGGAAGAUAAUGACUGUACCCACAGAAGAAGCCCCGGCUAACUCCGUGCCAGCCGCCGCCGUAACAC